AGCGAACGCUGGCGGCAGGCCUAACACAUGCAGGUCGAGCGCCCCGCAAGGGGAGCGGCAGACGGGAGAGUAACACGUGGGAACGUACCCUUUGGUUCGGAACAACCCAGGGAAACUUGGGCUAAUACCGGAUAAGCCCUUACGGGGAAAGAUUCAUCGCCGAAGGAUCGGCCCGCGUCUGAUUAGCUAGUUGGUGGGGUAACGGCCCACCAAGGCGACGAUCAGUAGCUGGUCUGAGAGGAUGAUCAGCCUCACUGGGACUGAGACACGGCCCAGACUCCUACGGGAGGCAGCAGUGGGGAAUAUUGGACAAUGGGCGCAAGCCUGAUCCAGCCAUGCCGCGUGGGUGAUGAAGGCCCUAGGGUUGUAAAGCCCUUUUUGCAGGGAAGAUAAUGACGGUACCUGCAGAAAAAGCCCCGGCUAACUUCGUGCCAGCAGCCGCAGUAACAC
rnacentral:rRNA from 1 species